AGGGGAUGCAAAAGCUGCACUUUCAUAUUUGGAAGGAAAAGCAGCCACAGACAAGAAGUUAUUUUGCAAGUAUAGCCAGUGGCGGAUCUACACGGUAGGCUAUCUAGGCUCAAGCCUAGACAACUUUUUGGCCAAAAAACGACAAAGUAUAUAUGUAUCUAUUAAUCUAUCUGACUUCAGCCCAUACCCAAAGAAAAAAAAAAAAAAAUAGAGAGGUAAGAGGUUUCUCCGCGUUCUCCCCCAGCCACAUCUUCGAGAGUUUGAGACGUCAUCACGUCAAGCAGUCCUCUGACUCCUCAGUCCUCUCAUCUCUUCGCGACUUCGCCUCCACUGGUCCUCCCCUAUUUUGCACAGAUCGGAAAUAUCAGAGUAUCAGGUGAUUCAGGUCCGCCUUUUCUUCUCCAAUCUCCACCUCUCCCUUCCAUUGCCCGAUCUAAUGCCCAACUGCCCAACAGCCCAAGAUUUGCAGAGAUUCUUGGCUUCUUGCAGAGUUGUAGACUGGAGUGACCGAAGAGUUGGCUGAUUGCCUGGGUUUCUGGAAGAGUUCUGGACUUCUGGCCUUCCAUGGCUCCAUGAAUUGCACGGCGAUUUAAGUUAUUUGGGUAGUAAGGUAUCUUACCUAGCAUCGAAGACAAAGGAGGGCACUGACAUUUUGAGAAAUGAACUCGUUAAACUAGAGCCGGUAUUGGAAGAGAUUUUGAAUCAACAAAAAGAAAUCAUUGUUAGUUCAAGCGGUUGUGAUAACAUCCUGAAAGAUCCAAUCAAGGUCAGAAGCAAAGGUAUGCAGGGUACUGAAAGCAGCAAACGACCUAAGAACAACCGAAAAUGUAGUUUGUGAAAGAACUACGGACAUACAAAACCUAGAUGCCCAAAGAAAAAUAGGGUACGUGGCAGAAUCAGUUGUGUAAACCAUGAUAAGAAUUUCAAUUCAGACAAUGUGCAGCAGCCUCCCAAAAAGAAACCAAAGGUUUGACGAUUUAGUGAGAUUGAAGUUUGAUACUUACUCUAUGUAACGAUAGCAAUUGUGGUGUUCUUUCUUGUCCUUGACCUAUAUUAAUUGGCAGUUUGAUAAACAUGUAUUUCGUCAUCUUCUUGAUAACUGUUAUGAGUAGUAUAUUUUGCAAUCUUAAUCUUUUCCUCCAACACCAGAGUUUGUAUUGAUUAUUUUCAUUAUGAAUGAAACGGUAUAACUGGAUCAUUUUCUUGUUG